rnacentral:rRNA from 1 species
AUUGAACGCUGGCGGCAUGCUUUACACAUGCAAGUCGAACGGUAACAGGCCGCAAGGUGCUGACGAGUGGCGAACGGGUGAGUAAUGCAUCGGAACGUGCCCAGUCGUGGGGGAUAACUACUCGAAAGAGUAGCUAAUACCGCAUACGAUCUAUGGAUGAAAGCGGGGGACCGUAAGGCCUCGCGCGAUUGGAGCGGCCGAUGUCAGAUUAGGUAGUUGGUGGGGUAAAGGCUCUCCAAGCCAACGAUCUGUAGCUGGUCUGAGAGGACGACCAGCCACACUGGGACUGAGACACGGCCCAGACUCCUACGGGAGGCAGCAGUGGGGAAUUUUGGACAAAGGGCGCAAGCCUGAUCCAGCAAUGCCGCGUGCAGGAAGAAGGCCUUCGGGUUGUAAACUGCUUUUGUACGGAACGAAACGGCUCUGGUUAAUACCCGGGGCUAAUGACGGUACCGUAAGAAUAAGCACCGGCUAACUACGUG